rnacentral:ncRNA from 1 species
UCAUGAAGGCCAGAAAAUGGUGUGGAACGUAGUGGUAAUACUACGCACCCCGCUCCGAAUCAAAGAAAAAAGUGCGUGCCGCACUCACGAGGGACUGCCAGUGAGAUACUGGAGGAAGGUGGGGAUGACGUCAAGUCCGCAUGGCCCUUAUGGGCUGGGCCACACACGUGCUACAAUGGCAAUGAUAAUGGGAAGCAAGGCUGUAAGGCGGAGCGAAUCCAGAAAGAUUGCCUCAGUUCGGAUUGUUCUCUGCAACUCAGGAACAUGAAGUUGAAAUUGCUAGUAAUCGCGGAUCAGCAUGCCGUGGUGAAUAUGUACCCGGGCCCUACACACACCGCCCGUCACACCCUGGGAAUUGGUUUCGCCCGAAGCAUCGGACCAAUGAGCACCCAUGACUUCUGUGUACCACUAGUGCCACAAAGGCCUUUGGUGGUCUUAUUGGCGCAUACCACGGUGGGGUCUUCGACUGGGGUGAAGUCGUAACAAGGUAGCCGUAGGGGAACCUGUGGCUGGAUUGAAUUCUUC